UACGUAGGGUGCAAGCGUUGUCCGGAAUUCUUGGGCGUAAAGAGCUCGUAGGCGGCUUGUUGCGUCGACUGUGAAAACCCGCGGCUUAACCGCGGGCUUGCAGUUGAUACGGGCAGGCUAGAGUUCGGUAGGGGAGACUGGAAUUCCUGGUGUAGCGGUGAAAUGCGCAGAUAUCAGGAGGAACACCGGUGGCGAAGGCGGGUCUCUGGGCCGAUACUGACGCUGAGGAGCGAAAGCGUGGGGAGCGAACAGG
rnacentral:rRNA from 1 species